CCGACCAAUGAGCGAGGAGCCAGUCCCAGCCUCGCCCCCAGCAAGCUUGGCAACAAGGGCAUUUCGACCACGAGAGAAGGUCGGGUCAUGGCGGGGCCAACUACCCUGUCCGUUUCCCGGCGCCUGACCUGAGAUGCCUGUUUGGGCUCUUGGCUGCUCAGGAGGAUGAUGGGGCAAGACUGAAGAGAAGGAAGGUCCAAGGAGGCAGAAAGGCUCGAAGGCAGCACUGAAGUUUGUCGAAUGCGACAGUAAGAAGAUCCUUGAGGAUCUAGGUCGACACAACCCCUGGAGGGUGAGAGCUUCAGUGUCUAUGCCACCCUUCCCUCGGAGGGGCUGCUUUCCCGGCUCUUUCACCUUGAAGAAGGCGGCAUCCUGGUCCUCCCGGAAGUCCUGCUUGCCCGCGUG